AGUGAACGCUGGCGGCGUGCUUAACACAUGCAAGUCGAACGAGAACGGGCUAUAGCUUGCUAUAGUUGUCAGCUAAGUGGCGCACGGGUGAGUAAUGUAUAGGUAAUAUGCCUCUUACUAAGGGAUAACAAAUGGAAACGUUUGCUAAUACCUUAUACUCCUUAUUAACAGAAGUUAAUAAGGGAAAGAUUUAUUGGUAAGGGAUUAGCCUGUAUUGUAUCAGUUAGUUGGUGGGGUAAUGGCUUACCAAGACUAUGACACAUAACUGGUUUGAGAGGAUGAUCAGUCACACUGGAACUGAGACACGGUCCAGACUCCUACGGGAGGCAGCAGUGGGGAAUAUUGCACAAUGGACGAAAGUCUGAUGCAGCAACGCCGCGUGGAGGAUGACACAUUUCGGUGCGUAAACUCCCUUUAUAUGAGAAGAUAAUGACGGUAUUAUAUGAAUAAGCACCGGCUAACUCCGUGCCAGCAGCCGCAGUAA
rnacentral:rRNA from 1 species